rnacentral:rRNA from 1 species
UACGUAGGGGGCUAGCGUUGUCCGGAAUCAUUGGGCGUAAAGCGCGUGUAGGCGGCCCGGUAAGUCCGCUGUGAAAGUCGGGGGCUCAACCCUCGGAUGCCGGUGGAUACUGUCGGGCUCGAGUACGGAAGAGGCGAGUGGAAUUCCUGGUGUAGCGGUGAAAUGCGCAGAUAUCAAGGAGGAACACCGAUUGCGAAGGCAGCUCGCUGGGACGUGACUGACGCUGAGACGCGAAAGCGUGGGGAGCAAACAGG